rnacentral:rRNA from 1 species
GACGAACGCUGGCGGCGUGCUUAACACAUGCAAGUCGAACGGGCCUUGUCCCCUUUUUUUUUGGGGGUGGGGUUAGUGGCGAACGGGUGAGUAACACGUGAGUAACCUGCCCCUCACUUCUGGAUAACCGCUUGAAAGGGUGGCUAAUACGGGGUGUUCUGGCCUGCUCGCAUGGGUGGGUUUGGAAAGAUUCGACCGGUUUUGGUGGUUUUGGUGGGGGAUGGGCUCGCGGCCUAUCAGCUUGUUGGUGGGGUGAUGGCCUGCCAAGGCUUUGUCGGGUAGCCGGCCUGAGAGGGUGGGCGGUCACACUGGGACUGAGACACGGCCCAGACUCCUACGGGAGGCAGCAGUGGGGAAUAUUGCACAAUGGGCGCAAGCCUGAUGCAGCGACGCCGCGUGAGGGAUGGAGGCCUUCGGGUUGUGAACCUCUUUCGCCAGUGAAGAAGGUCCUGCUCUUUGUGGUGGGGUUGACGGUAGCUGGGUUAAUGAAGCGCCGGCUAACUACGUG